CAGCUAUAUCAUAUUGAAACACCAUUUUCCGUAUGUUCUCCAAAGUUAAGCAACAUCGAGUCUGGUUAGUACCUAGAUGGGUGACUGUUUGGGAAUACUAGGUGCUGUAAG